rnacentral:rRNA from 1 species
UACAGAGGUCCCAAGCGUUUGUUCGGAUUUAUUGGGCGUAAAGGGUGCGUAGGCGGCGGAGUAAGUUGGGUGUGAAAUCCCGGGGCUCAACCUCGGAAUUGCAUUCAAUACUGCUUCGCUAGAGUACUGGAGAGGAGGCUGGAAUUUACGGUGUAGCAGUGAAAUGCGUAGAUAUCGUAAGGAAGGCCGGUGGCGAAAGCGAGCCUCUGGACAGUUACUGACGCUGAUGCACGAAGGCCAGGGGAGCAAACGGG